rnacentral:rRNA from 1 species
GACGUAGGGGGCCAGCGUUGUUCGGAAUUACUGGGUGUAAAGGGUUCGUAGGCGGUGUAGCAAGUCGGGAGUGAAAUCUCUGGGCUUAACCCAGAGGCUGCUUCCGAAACUGCUGUGCUUGAGUGUGGGAGAGGCGCGUGGAAUUGCAGGUGUAGCGGUGAAAUGCGUAGAUAUCUGGAGGAACACCAGCGGCGAAGGCGGCACUCUGGGCUGGAACUGACGCUGAGGAGCGAAAGCGUGGGUAGCAAACAGG